UGGUCAAGAAAUUUACAUUAGACGUUUCUAACUUUAUGAAAUUUGAACAAUGGAUGAGGACCAGCAUUUGCAACUCCAUGACACCAUGAUAUUUUACCAUUAAAAAUGGGGUUUAAAAUUUUAAUCAAUAUCUUGCGAAGUGUAUUGAUUCAAUUAUGUUAACCAUUAUAUCAAAUAUCUACUACAUGAAUGAACUAAUCCACCCAGUACUAACAAAUUCAAGAACAAAACAAACAUUUUCAAGCCCAGUCCAAAUACAGGAGGAAAUGAUCACUUCGGAUCUCAUCAUAUGAAACGGGGAUCAAAUAAUCAAAGCGCUGAGCUUCAGUUAAAAUUCGUUUUCUUUCCCUGAAUGAACGAGAAAAACAAGAACCCAAAAAAUCUUAGUAACAAACAACCCCACAUUUCUUAAGAAAAAAGAAGAAGCAAGAAAUGGAAUUAGUUGGGGAAUUUCAACAAACAGAAGGAGAGCAAAAUAAAACAAGGAGAGAAAGGAAGAUUGAAACAAGAAAAGAAGAAAGACCCGAAAGCAGGAAGACGUUAAAAACAUACCUUGUAAAAUUUGGGUGUCAUUGGGAAUCCAUGGAAGAAGCUAAAUCCAAGAAAGAAAAGCACAUUGGUAAGAAAGAAAAACCCUAAGACAGAAAGAGGGAGGGGGAGAGGGGAGGAAGUCAACGUGGUGAAAGUGCUUGUCCUGCUGAAGAAAACUACUAAAUUUCUAAAAUUCACGUGUUCGUUUGCUUCUUCUCUAUCGCUGGUUGCAAUGCGAUGUGAUGCCCCCACCCAUCUCAUUCCAAUUUUCUAGUUUUUUUCCUUCGUAUUUUUUUUUGUUUGGAUUCAAAGAAAAAGAUGGAAAUGGAAACUUGUUUCUAAUUUAACCA
rnacentral:lncRNA from 1 species